rnacentral:rRNA from 1 species
AUCCUGGCUCAGGAUGAACGCUAGCGGCAGGCUUAACACAUCGAAGUCGAACGGUAACAUUUCUAGCUUGCUAGAAGAUGACGAGUGGCGCACGGGUGAGUAACGCGUAUACAAUCUACCUUUUACAGGGGGAUAGCCCUUUAGAAAUGAAGAUUAAUACCCAUAGUAAGUUAUUGUUGCAUGAUGAUAACUUUAAAGUUUCGGCGGUAAAAGAUGAGUAUGCGUUCUAUUAGUUAGUUGGUAAGGUAACGGCUUACCAAGACCGCGAUAGAUAGGGGCCCUGAGAGGGGGAUCUCCCACACUGGUACUGAGACAC